ensembl:lncRNA
UGGUCUCCCAGUCCGCGCACAGAGGCUGCCUGAAACCCCCGUCUCCAAGUCGGCAACAGGGAGCGGAAGUGCAAGGGGCUUCCCACUGGGUCUCGGCUCCUUGGACCGCAUCUUAACGGUGCAGGUAGAGGAGGCCCCGCAGGCCCCAGGCUCCCGUGGCCGGUGCGAGGGGGAGAAGCGCUGCAUCUGAGCACAGCCAAUGAAAAGACACUAUUUCUGAUCUUCAUUUACAUAUGGCAGGAAGCCCAGCAAGGUUUUUGAUGGGACAGUUUCUACGUGGUGUGACCCCAAAGGCCAAGGAAGACUCCCAAAGGGUCUGGUUCCUGUGGGGGGAGCAGGUGUGGGCUCUGGGAGAGGGGAACCCACAUAGAACGACUUUUCAGCUGCACAGGGCGCUGGGCAUUCUGCAUCCCGGUCCGGUCCAGUCCAGUACAGCAAGCGAGCAGGAAACGCAGUGCCAACAGCACUGGCUGAAGACUGAUAGGAGCACAUGGAACCCUUCUGCCUCAGAACCCACCACGUACACGACUGCUCAGUGAACUAUUUACGAGAGUUUCCCACUAGGGACAAAAUCCAACUUUACACAAAGAGACUUUAUACGGAGGAGCAGCGAUCCCCUGAUUUCCACGUGGUUUCUUUCUGGCUUCAGGCAUGUGACCUGCCUGUGUCACUGUGUGUCUAGCUCUUUCUUUAGACUUGUAGUACGCCAUCUAUCCUAGAGGAUUUGAGACACAAAGCUUCCGUGCCUAUGCAGAAAGUCACUGAAAGCUUAAACUCCUUGUGAAAAAAAAAUCCAAAUCUAGUGAUACUGAAGGAAGAGGGGAAGGGAAAACUUGAAGAGGAAAAAUGAAAUAAAACACCCUAAAGC